ACACAGGAGAAAGGUCACCUGGGUAACUUUGAAUUACAACUCCCCAAGCUCUGAGAGGCCAGUCCGAGUCAUUUAUCACCUUUAAUAAAGCGGAUACUUAUUAAACUUUUAACAACAAACGAUAAAAACGUCGGUGUGUGACUUUUUAAAAACAGUCAAACAGCUUUUCGCCCAAUUAGCAGGCGAGCUAACCAACCGCCGCCAACGUAAUUAACCUUUAAAUAGCUUGGCUUUAAUCUCAGCCGUGCCCAUCAAUUAAAACAACAGCUGUGAAGUUAAGUCCUUAAACAAAGCGAACAACCAGUGAACCGUUAAGAGGCCAGCGCUGACCGACAACCGGACACUCAAGAACACAAAGAGGCACCGGUUUAUUGCCUUUCCCAAGAGGUUCUGGCGUCACUGCAGCCUAUAAAGAGAGAAUUCCCACUGGGACCCUACACCCACUGUCACCCUCCACCCCAACCCUUGCACCUCACUAUUCUGCCAGGAGAUUCCCCGGGACGUCUGUAGCAUUUCCAUGACAACAGCCACUGACAGAGAUGGGCUGACUGUGUCAAGAGAUGCAGCAAGAGGGAGUUCAGAUGAGAAGGAGGGAGAUGAAAACGAGGGUGACAAGAACACAGAGGACAGCAAGAUGCAAGAGCAACAGUUGACUGGGAUCUAACCUGGACAGCCCUUUGGAAGCGGUGGCAAAAUGAAUGGAAGACCCUGCAUGCCUCCUCUAGUUUGAAGGUGCUGUCAUCUUCACAGAAGAAUUCUACCAGAGCC